CCUACGGGUGGCAGCAGUGGGGAAUAUUGGACAAUGGGGGGAACCCUGAUCCAGCCAUGCCGCGUGUGUGAAGAAGGCCCUCGGGUUGUAAAGCACUUUCAGUGAGGAAGAACGCCUGGUGGUUAAUACCCAUCAGGAAAGACAUCACUCACAGAAGAAGCACCGGCUAACUCCGUGCCAGCAGCCGCGGUAAUACGGAGGGUGCGAGCGUUAAUCGGAAUUACUGGGCGUAAAGCGCGCGUAGGUGGCUUGAUAAGCCGGUUGUGAAAGCCCCGGGCUCAACCUGGGAACGGCAUCCGGAACUGUCAAGCUAGAGUGCAGGCGAGGAAGGUAGAAUUCCCGGUGUAGCGGUGAAAUGCGUAGAGAUCGGGAGGAAUACCAGUGGCGAAGGCGGCCUUCUGGACUGACACUGACACUGAGGUGCGAAAGCGUGGGUAGCAAACAGGAUUAGAUACCCCAGUAGUC
rnacentral:rRNA from 1 species